GCGCCCGUAGCUCAGGCGGACAGAGCGGGAGCGUCCUAAGCUCCGCGUCGGGGGUUCGAGUCCCUCCGGGCGCACCA
rnacentral:tRNA from 1 species